rnacentral:siRNA from 1 species
AGACUGGUGAAAGCUUCUGUGA